rnacentral:rRNA from 1 species
UACGGGGGGAGCAAGCGUUGUUCGGAUUUACUGGGCGUAAAGGGCGCGUAGGCGGCGUAACAAGUCACUUGUGAAAUCUCCGGGCUUAACCCGGAGCGGCCAAGUGAUACUGUUGUGCUAGAGUGCAGAAGGGGCAACUGGAAUUCUCGGUGUAGCGGUGAAAUUCGUAGAUAUCGAGAGGAACACCGGUGGCGAAGGCGGCCAACUGGACGAAUACUGACGCUGAGACUCGAAAGCGUGGGGAGCAAACAGG